UCAUUUGGAUGCUCUAGGGAUCUCAAAGGAGGUCCCUUUAAAUAGGCACAAGGAUUGAAUCCUAUUCAAUCACAUAAUAUAAGUCCUACUUGCAUUGGAUUUCCUAUUAACUUAAGUUAUUCAACUUACUUUAGAAGACCCUUUAGAUGCCAACAAUUGGAGCUCUUGUACCCAUAAUUAGAUAUCCCAAAACACACCCAAA
rnacentral:lncRNA from 1 species